AUGUUCCUCUCCUGGAAAAAGAGGAAAAGAGAGGAACACUGGCUUGUGUUUUAUUUCCAACUUGGUCGUUUCCUGGAACCAUCUCUAGGUCAGGAUAAGAAUCAGGUAGAGCUUGAGGGACACGGUAUCUUACUUUUUUUUUAUUUCAUGUUUUGCUGUCAUAAUAAAAACCAUAGACUUAGUGGCUUAAGUGUUUGUUCAUUUCAUUUCCUUGUUGCAGAAGUCAGAAAUCUGGGGCAAUGGGUCUCAGAGGGCUGAAUACAAAAGGCUGGCAGCACUGUGUUACUUUCUUGAUGCUCUAGGGGAAAAUUCCUCUUCUUGUUCACUGGAGUCAUUGUUAGAACCCUGUUCCUUUCUGGACAGUAGCUGCAGACAGUUCAAAGCUUUCAGAGAAUGCACACACUCAAUGCCAGUACCAAUCCCUGAUUGACAAGACUUCUGAGCCCCACUCCUGCCCAAUCGGGAGUUCAACCCCCAUCUGAAUCCAGAAUUCCCCUACCUCGAAUCCUUUACUCUUUAAAAACCCUGCCAUAACUGAGUUCAGGGCUCUCCUUGAUCCAACCGCUGUGUUGGAACAGACAGAGAGCCCAAGCUCGAGCUCGCAAUAAAGGCUCUUUGCUUUUGUUUAUGAA